AUUGCCGCCGCUGCCAUAGACCAUCCCGAGAUAACCAUACCCCAUCCCGCCGGCACCGGCGCCGCCACCGCCUCCGCCGCCGGUUCCAACUCCGGCGUAGUUGACGCCGGCGUACGCCGCCGCCUCGCCGUUGUCCCUGCCAGAUCAAAUCUCCAAAAACAUUAGCAAACUAUCUUAUAUUCUCUUCUCAUGUACUACCAUGAGAGAGCUAGUAGCUGCCAGUAUGUCAUUAGCAAAACUGGCACAAGUUGUAGCAAAAACUUUCAAGUGAAACUGUACUUAAGGUGAGAUCUACUACUGCUGUCUGUCACAAGUGCAUAUGCACGCUGCAGAAUAAGGAAUUGGAUGCCGAGGAACAUGGGUCUUCUCCUGCAGAGUGAUGGACAGAACGACAAAAAGUGCACGCCAUUUUCUAAUGGAUCGUUGCAAAUGGACCCUCAACGUUCUCUUCUUGCUUGGCUCCAUCCGAAAAGGUCAUCGCAUUGCAAUAUGGAUUCGGCGACAAAACGAAGGGGUCAGUGGCGAGCAAGUGGAGAAGAAGAAGGCAAUGCAUGGUGAGUGAUUGCCGGCCUACCGUGAUCCCUGGGUUAUGCAAUCGAUGGAUAUAGCACGCAUGUUGCUGAGCAUGCGACGAUCUUUUCGAUCCCGGCUACUUUUGGCAUCGA